AAGGUCUUUACUUCUUAACACAAGGACAUGCCAAGGCAGUACUGCAAGACAGGGAGACCUCGUCAGAAUUCAUUCAUCUGAGUUCAACAGCAUGUAUUGAGUACCCACUGCAUGCCCCAACCUUGCUAAGGAGCAAGGGAUAAAAAUGUGAGCUGAGCCUGAUUUACAGGCAAAGAUUCAAUGAUUUAUAAUACAAUAUGAUGACAUCAUAUGAUAACAGUGAUCAGAAUGAUGUGUUUUAGGAAUGCAAUAGAAAAAGGACAGAUUCUGCCCAGAGACAUUGGAGGUGUUACUCAAACAGGAAGGAAAAUGCCACAUACUCUUACCAGUUCUUGAUGCCAGAGAUUACUAAAGCAAUUUGGAAAGAUAUCGAAAAGGUGUUGAGAAAAUACAGUGUUUAGGCACAUGAGAGAAGAUGAGGAACCAGGACAGGAAAUGGCAGCGUUUCCACCAAAGGUCAAGGGGAACAUUAAUGGGC